rnacentral:rRNA from 1 species
UAUGGAGGGGGCAAGCGUUGUUCGGAUUUACUGGGCGUAAAGGGCGCGUAGGCGGCGUGACAAGUCACUUGUGAAAUCUCCGGGCUUAACUCGGAACUGCCAAGUGAUACUGUCGUGCUAGAGUGCAGAAGGGGCAAUCGGAAUUCUUGGUGUAGCGGUGAAAUGCGUAGAUAUCAAGAGGAACACCAGAGGCGAAGGCGGAUUGCUGGGCUGACACUGACGCUGAGGCGCGAAAGCUAGGGUAGCAAACGGG